rnacentral:lncRNA from 1 species
GCACUGGGAGAGGCAGGGAGCCUGCAUUUAGACUUCCUCUCAGCUUGCAGGAUGUACCACAUGUUAAGAGGGUCUUAGGCUACCUGUAUACAAGUAAUUUUCAAUGCUUUUCAUCUAAGUCUAAAAGCUGACCCAUCCUUUAAAAGUAUGUGCUCAGUAAGUCACCAGAAAGUGGCAUGGAGCAGAGGAUUGUUUAAUUAGGGGUGCUGAGUCACUUUGGGGACCUGGAGGCUCUGUCUUUGACUAGGCAAAGUGUUUGCUCCAAGCCUUUCCUCUGCCCAAAUCUGUGAAGAUCUAGUUGCACCUUGGAACUUUCAGCACCAAGGCGCCAAGUGAACUGCCAUGAACAACAAGAUAUGCACAACACCCACCAGGCAUGCAUGUGCUCUCUCUGAGCACUGGUGCAGGAGACUUGGGAGGAGACUGAGGGGAGCGAGCACAGGAGGAUGUUGAGAGCAAACUUCCUUCCCUUUGUCUUUACCUGGAGACCCACCCAGGGCAAAUGCAGACUGUCUUCAUGCGGAGAUAUCACCUGCAGGUGCAUGGGUUGCCCUUGGAUACUGCUGUAACAAGAUUUCUUUUCUCCAAAGACAGAAAGGCUGGAUUGUGGCCAGAGCUUCCAGGCCAACGAGCUCUGAGGUCUCAGCCCAGCUGGGUGUCUUGCUGCCGUUUCUGAAGUGGCUCAUGUUCCACAAGACAGAGUGAGCCAGGAGAUGCCACCAUUCAGGGAACCUUCUGAGGGCCAACAAUAUGAUAACAACUCCCCAGGGGCAGGCACACGGAGGCAAGACUGGGCACCUCUCUCCCUGCUUUUCCAAGAGGAAUAAAUAACUCUUUAUCCAAACCCAAGGCUGAUGUUUAUCUUUUAGCUUGUGGAAACAUGGAAAGAACAACAACAGCUUCCUGCUCUGUUGAGAAAUUUGAAGCUUAAAACAAUGAGCUGGCAUUUGUGAGG